CUGCCGUGGGUCUUUUUGGAGUGUGACAUUCAGCCGGCCUUUCGGGGCCACGGACUUUGCAUUCUAGCACCAUGGCUCAAUUUUUCUGUAACCUCGCGGAGAAGGCCCGGGCGCUGGUGAAUGCUGCUGUGACUUAUUCGAAGCCUCGACUGGCCACAUUUUGGUACUACGCCAAGGUUGAGCUGGUUCCUCCAACCCCUGCUGAGAUCCCUAGAGCUUUUCAGAGCCUGAAAAAAAUAGUCAAUAGUGCUCAAACUGGUAGCUUCAAACAGCUUACAGUUAAGGAAGCCGUGCUGAAUGGUUUGGUGGCCACUGAGGUGUGGAUGUGGUUUUAUGUCGGAGAGAUCAUAGGCAAGCGUGGCAUCAUUGGCUAUAAUGUUUGAAGACCAAUCUUUAACAUCUGAUUAUAUUUGACUUAUUUGAGUACUCUUGGACCAUGUGUGAUCAGACUGCUAUCUGAAUAAAAUGCGUCAAAAAUCCCAAAAAAAAAAAAAAA